ensembl:miRNA
GGGGCUGGGAUUGUGGCUCAGAAGUAGAGCGCUCGCCUAGCGCGGGCAGGACCCGGGUUCGAUCCUCAGUACCGCA